rnacentral:rRNA from 1 species
AUUGAACGCUGGCGGCAGGCCUAACACAUGCAAGUCGAGCGGGGUUUUCGGACCUAGCGGCGGACGGGUGAGUAAUGCGUAGGAAGCUGCCCGAUAGAGGGGGAUACCAGUUGGAAACGACUGUUAAUACCGCAUAAUGUCUACGGACCAAAGUGUGGGACCUUCGGGCCACAUGCUAUCGGAUGCGCCUACGUGGGAUUAGCUAGUUGGUGAGGUAAUGGCUCACCAAGGCGACGAUCUCUAGCUGGUUUGAGAGGAUGAUCAGCCACACUCGAACGGAGACACGGUCCAGACCCCUACGGGAGGCAGCAGUGGGGAAUAUUGGACAAUGGGCGCAAGCCUGAUCCAGCCAUGCCGCGUGUGUGAAGAAGGCCUUCGGGUUGUAAAGCACUUUCAGCGAGGAGGAAGGGGUGUGUGUUAAUAGUACACACCUUUGACGUUACUCGCAGAAGAAGCACCGGCUAACUCUGUGCCAGCAGCCGCCGUAAUAC